AUACAUUGUAAACAUAGUAUACAUAUGAAGUUGUAUCUACAUUUGAAUUGCGAUAUUCUUACGAAUUUUUGGCUACUUGUGCAUCAAGUCUUGAGUUUGUUUAUUCAAACUGAGUCUUAAUUCAAGAAUCACCUUGUCUGUUAGGAACUUGAGGGCAGACCAAUGAGGGUGAAUUCUGGACCUCCGCCUCCUAAGAGGGAAGGUUCUUCGUUCAGAGGACCUAGGGGAGAUAGGGAAGGUUAUUCGUUCAGAGGACCUAGGGGAGAUAGGGAAGGGGAAGGUUAUUCGUUCAGAGGACCUAGGGGAGAUAGGGAAGGUUCUUCAUUCAGAGGACCUAGGGGAGAUAGGGAUGGUUCUUCAUUCAGAGGAUCAAGGGGAGGGUCGAGGACAAGUUUCGAUAAUAGCAACAGAGUUUAUGUGGGAAACCUGUCAUGGGGAGUUGACGACCUUGCUCUUGAAACCUUGUUCAGUGAGCAAGGAAAGGUUAUG
rnacentral:lncRNA from 1 species